rnacentral:rRNA from 1 species
UACGUAGGUGGCGAGCGUUGUCCGGAUUUACUGGGCGUAAAGAGCGCGCAGGCGGUCGUUCAAGUCGCGUGUGAAAGCCCCCGGCUCAACUGGGGAGGGUCACGCGAUACUGAUCGACUCGAAGGCAGGAGAGGGAAGUGGAAUUCCAGGUGUAGCGGUGAAAUGCGUAGAUAUCUGGAGGAACACCGGUGGCGAAGGCGGCAUCCUGGACCAAUACUGACGCUGAGGAGCGAAAGCCAGGGGAGCAAACGGG